AUGGGACACUGUGAGACUCUGUGAGACAUGGGACACUGAGAGACUGUGAGACAUGGGACACUGAGAGACUCUGUGAGACAUGGGACACUGAGAGACACUGAGAGACAUGGGACACUGAGAGACUCUGUGAGACAUGGGACACUGAGACAUGGGACAUUGUGAGACAUGGGAUAUUGAGACACUGUGAGACAUGGGACAUUGAGAUACUGUGAGACAUGGGAUAUUGAGACACUGUGAGACAUGGGACUCUGAGACACUGUGAGACAUGGGACUCUGAGACGCUGUGAGACGUGGGACACUGUAAGACUUGGGACUCUGUGAAACAUGGUACAUUGAGACACUGUGAGACUCUGUGAGACAUGGGACACUGUAAGACAUGGGACUCUGUGGGACACUGUAAGACAUGGGACUCUGUGAGACAUGGGACAUUGAGAGACGCUGUGAGACAUGGGACACUGAGAGACACUGUGAGACAUGGGGGGAGGGAGGAGGACAUAGAGAGACACUGUGAGACAUGGGACAUUGAGAGACACUCUGAGACACGGGACUCUGUGAGAAAUGGGACAUUGAGAGACAUGUCUCACAGAGUCACUGAGACAUUAGACUCUGUGAGACAUGGGACACUGGAAAACAGGUAGUCACUGAGGUGGACAUGGAGACACACAGAGACAUAGAGAGACACAAAUGAGGGUAACAGGAGGAG